rnacentral:misc_RNA from 1 species
GAUGAAGAACGUAGCGAAAUGCGAUAAGUAAUGUGAAUUGCAGAAUUCAGUGAAUCAUCGAAUCUUUGAACGCACAUUGCGCCCGCCAGUAAUCUGGCGGGCAUGCCUGACCGAGCGUCAUUUCAACCCUCGAACCCCUCCGGGGGGUCGGCGUUGGGGACCUCGGGAGCCCCUAAGACGGGAUCCCGGCCCCGAAAUACAGUGGCGGACUCGCCGCAGCCUCUCCUGCGCAGUAGUUUGCACAACUCGCACCGGGAGCGCGGCGCGUCCACGUCCGUAAAACACCCAACUUCUGAAAUGUUGACCUCGGAUCAGGUAGGAAUACCCGCUGAACUUAAGCAUAUCAAUAAGCGGAGGA